GAGAAAGGCUUUUGAGAGAAUUGGGCCUUGUGACAGAUAGUGAUGAGAAUAAUCCUUUAAACUAUUUUUGAAUCUUCUUGACUUUCCUAAAAAUGAGCUUUGGGGGAGCCUUGUGAAUUGCAUUCAGGAUUCUCUUCCAGGGGAUAAAAGGCGACUUCUAGGUUGUGCAUGCUGACUGACAGGUAGGGUCCUGGAAGGGUAUUCUAGUUUAAGUGAAGUCCCAGGGCAGGAAGGGAGAGGUACUCAUCAUGGCCCCAAGGAAUUACACUUGCAAGAAGCUGAUCAAAGCCUGUGUGCCCCUGAAGCAGAGCCUGGAGUUAGAAUUGGGACCAAGAGGAUUUGUAGUGGCUCACAAAAGGAGCGUGACAUAGGAUCUUAGAGAUAUUCUAGCUGAAUCUGACAUUUUAUGGGCGAGGAAACAACCAAAGAGUCAUGACUUGCCCAAGGUCUCAUAGAUAAUAAAUGGUGGCAACAGAUAUGGAUGAGUGGUAAUAACUCUUAGGCUAGGAAUGUCUGCUAUCCCUUUUUUCCUUGCUGGCAAAACAAUUUUCACAAGCUUAUAUUAACCAUGUUCUUUUUUAGAUUUAAAUUUAUUAAGCUAAAUUUACAAUUCCUCCAAACGUGAAAAAUAAGUCUGUCACGAGUCUUUGACCAGAUAGUAUACAAAGGCCAUAAUCUGCUCUGCAAUGUAAAGGGAAGUGAUGAGACCUCAGGUUAUCUGGUGGAAAUGGUCUCUGCAUUCAAACUCAGGGCAUGGGUUCUGGAGGCAGAUUACAUGGGUUCAGCUUCUAGCUCUAUUCUUUAUACACAGGGACCUAGGUCAAGUUAGUUCACUUCCUUAACCCAAAGGGCCGGUAUGAGGAUUAAAUAAGAUAUGCCAUACGAAGUGUAUGAGACUACAGAUAGAAAGACUUCACAAAUACAGCUUUAAAGAACUCCAAGUGAUUUGACUAGACCAAGACCCAAGUUCCAACAGUUGUCAACUGCUUACAGGGUUACAACAAACUGCCUUAUAUUUGUGUAGAAUAUUAUCCAAAAUAUAAUUCUUACACAUAUCUUCCUAACAUCACUUCCCUUGAGUUGUUACAUCAGUUGAAGUGAUCGAAGCAUUAUCCCCUAACUAUACCUUUUGUACUCCUGUCUCUCUGAUGUGUUUCUCCUCUCCCAAGAAUGCCCUAUGAUUUUUCUCUCUGCUGAUUUAAAUCCUUCUUGUCUCAAUUCACCUCAAUGAUCUGUCUCUCACUGAAUGACUAGAUCCGAUGGUCUGGCCUAAAACAGGGAAAGAAUAGAGGCAUUGCACUAAAUGAGCUGGAUGGUGAAUAUCUCCUUAAGCAUUGCAGUUUUGGAGCUUUGGAUGACCCCAGUUGAGCCAGUGGGGAAGUAGGAGCAAGCCGUCUUUUCCAGAAACACUCACUGAUCCUCUAUAGCGUAAUAAGCACUGAGUGAGGCUCUGGGCAUAUAGCAGUGAGCAAAGCUGGCUUACUCUGUGACCUUGUGGCAGGUGUAAUAGACUAGUAGGGUACACAAUCAAUGGUUACAUUUAAACAAAUCUAAGUUUACAAUUGUGAUUAGUGCAAGAAAGGAGAGAGCACAGUGUUAUAAGCACAGAAAACUGGAGUGGGAGUGGAUUUGACUUGUUCAGGAAGGUCAAUGGGUAUGAGAUCUGAAAUAUAACUGCAAGGUGACCAGGUGUGUGUGUUAGAAGAGAUCAGAGAGUACAGAUCAGGUGGAGGGAACAGCAUAGUUAGAAGACCCUGCGAGUGGAGAGCCGUUGUUCUAAGCAGUUAAAGGAAACUCAGUGAGAUCCAGUGAGACUGGUACAGAGGAAAACAAAACAAAGGAAAACAAAACAAAGGAAAAUAGGGCAUGCUAGAUAACACCUUGAAACGAUUUGAAUAGCAUCCAAGAGCACAUUUUCAGUAUAACAUGUCCUAACCAUUACUUGCAAGAUGUGAAUAUGUUUUCCAAUGCACUAUGAUCAUUCAUGGAGAGAUUAUGAACAUUCAAUUAACAACAUUUGGGUGGAACACCUCCCAAAGUAACAGAAUUCUUUCUUCUUUGUGGAAGCUUGCUGAUUGCUGACAAUCUACAGUCUAAAUGAUGGUCAAGAAAUACUGCAGUAACUCUACUGGAGCCACUGGAGUGAGGAACCCUAGCAAAGAAAGAAAAGCUGAAAGUCUACUCCACAAUUAACAAAAAGGAGCCUGUAGUGAGGAAAAAGGAGCCCUGGGAUUCCCAAGAGGUGGGCUGGAUUCAGAAAGCAGAAGAAGACCCAUCUCUGCUGGGCAGAGUUUUCUCCUGCAUUAAUUGCCCCUGAAAGAAGAUGCCGGAAAAGCAAGGCUGAUAUGUAGGGGUCAGUCAGUGAAUGAGGAUGCACCAUACCUCUGUUCAGAUCAUUGACUCAGAACCUGAAGACACGAACACCAGAUGCAAGCGAUUUCUUCAAAUUGUGUCCUUGCAAUUAUUAUUCUGAAUCUCUAUUGAAAUAUUAUCUCAACUUUAUUGGA
rnacentral:lncRNA from 1 species